rnacentral:rRNA from 1 species
GAACGGGUGAGUAACACGUGGGUGAUCUGCCCUGCACUUUGGGAUAAGCCUGGGAAACUGGGUCUAAUACCGAAUACGAUCACGGGCUUCAUGGUCUGUGGUGGAAAGCUUUUGCGGUGUGGGAUGGGCCCGCGGCCUAUCAGCUUGUUGGUGGGGUAAUGGCCUACCAAGGCGACGACGGGUAGCCGGCCUGAGAGGGUGACCGGCCACACUGGGACUGAGAUACGGCCCAGACUCCUACGGGAGGCAGCAGUGGGGAAUAUUGCACAAUGGGCGCAAGCCUGAUGCAGCGACGCCGCGUGAGGGAUGACGGCCUUCGGGUUGUAAACCUCUUUCAGCACAGACGAAGCGCAAGUGACGGUAUGUGCAGAAGAAGGACCGGCCAACUACGUGCCAGCAGCCGCGGUAAUACGUAGGGUCCGAGCGUUGUCCGGAAUUACUGGGCGUAAAGAGCUCGUAGGUGGUUUGUCGCGUUGUUCGUGAAAACUCACAGCUUAACUGUGGGCGUGCGGGCGAUACGGGCAGACUGGAGUACUGCAGGGGAGACUGGAAUUCCUGGUGUAGCGGUGGAAUGCGCAGAUAUCAGGAGGAACACCGGUGGCGAAGGCGGGUCUCUGGGCAGUAACUGACGCAGAGGAGCGAAAGCGUGGGGAGCGAACAGGAUUAGAUACCCUGGUAGUCCACGCCGUAAACGGUGGGUACUAGGUGUGGGUUUCCUUCCUUGGGAUCCGUGCCGUAGCUAACGCAUUAAGUACCCCGCCUGGGGAGUACGGCCGCAAGGCUAAAACUCAAAGGAAUUGACGGGGGCCCGCACAAGCGGCGGAGCAUGUGGAUUAAUUCG